AUUGAACGCUGGCGGCAGGCCUAACACAUGCAAGUCGAGCGGAUGAAGGGAGCUUGCUCCUGGAUUCAGCGGCGGACGGGUGAGUAAUGCCUAGAAAUCUGCCUGGUAGUGGGGGAUAACGUCCGGAAACGGGCGCUAAUACCGCAUACGUCCUGAGGGAGAAAGUGGGGGAUCUUCGGACCUCACGCUAUCAGAUGAGCCUAGGUCGGAUUAGCUAGUUGGUGGGGUAACGGCCUACCAAGGCGACGAUCCGUAACUGGUCUGAGAGGAUGAUCAGUCACACUGGAACUGAGACACGGUCCAGACUCCUACGGGAGGCAGCAGUGGGGAAUAUUGGACAAUGGGCGAAAGCCUGAUCCAGCCAUGCCGCGUGUGUGAAGAAGGUCUUCGGAUUGUAAAGCACUUUAAGUUGGGAGGAAGGGCAGUAAGUUAAUACCUUGCUGUUUUGACGUUACCAACAGAAUAAGCACCGGCUAACUUCGUG
rnacentral:rRNA from 1 species